GAUGAAGAACGUAGCGAAAUGCGAUAAGUAAUGUGAAUUGCAGAAUUCAGUGAAUCAUCGAAUCUUUGAACGCACAUUGCGCCCGCCAGUAUUCUGGCGGGCAUGCCUGUUCGAGCGUCAUUACAACCCUCAGGCCCCCGGGCCUGGCGUUGGGGAUCGGCGGAGCCCCCCGUGGGCACACGCCGUCCCCCAAAUACAGUGGCGGUCCCGCCGCAGCUUCCAUCGCGUAGUAGCUAACACCUCGCGACUGGAGAGCGGCGCGGCCACGCCGUAAAACACCCAACUCUUCUGAAGUUGACCUCGAAUCAGGUAGGAAUACACGCUGAACUUAAGCAUAUCAAUAAGCGGAGGA
rnacentral:misc_RNA from 1 species